rnacentral:rRNA from 1 species
ACGGGAGCAGCAGGCGCGAAAACUCCGCAAUACGCGAAAGCGUGACGGGGUCAUCCCGAGUGCUGUCCGCUGAGGAUGGCUUUUCCCCAGUGUAGAUAGCUGGGGGAAUAAGGAGAGGGCAAGUCUGGUGUCAGCCGCCGCGGUAAUACCAGCUCUCCGAGUGGUGGGGAUGUUUAUUGGGCUUAAAGCAUCCGUAGCCGGCUGGGCAAGUCCUCUGUUAAAUCUAACGAUUCAAUCGUUGGAUUGCGGAGGAUACUGCUCGGCUAGGGGGCGGGAGAAGCCGACGGUAUUCUCGGGGUAGGGGUGAAAUCCUAUAAUCCUGGGAGGACCACCAGUGGCGAAGGCUGUCGGCUAGAACGCGCCCGACGGUGAGGGAUGAAAGCUGGGGGAGCGAACCGGAUUAGAUACCCGGGUAGUCCCAGCUGUAAACGAUGCAGGCUAGGUGUUCGGGCGGCCAAGUGCCGCUCUAGUGCCGCAGGGAAACCGUUAAGCCUGCCGCCUGGGGAGUACGGCCGCAAGGCUGAAACUUAAAGGAAUUGGCNGGGGAGG